UAAUGAAGAAAUCUUUAGGAACUGUGAAAUGUUCCACUCUUUGAAUGUGAUGGUUGUUUGUGGCCCAUCCCUCCAGAUCCUUUCCCUGAACGCCCGGUACCCUGGAAGUGCACAUGAUUCCCAUGUAAUUCGGCAAUCAGGGAUAUGGCAAAAAUUAAGACUGUUGGAAGGGCAAGACGCAUGGAUAUUGGGCAGAGCACAAAGGCAGACACAGCAGCGGCCAGGACUGCCAACAUCAGCUUCCUCCCGCUCUCAUCCCCCCUCCACCAUCAAUCUUCCUCCCCUUCACAACCCCCCUCCACCAUCAAUCUUCCUCCCCCUCUCAACCCUCCUCCCCCCCAACAAUCUUCCUCCCCUCUCAACCCAACAAUCUUCCUCCUCCUCCCACUCUCAACCACCCACCCCACAUCAAUCUUCCUCCUCCUCCUCCUCCUCCCACUCUCAACCACCCACCCCACAUCAAUCUUCCUCCUCCUCCUCCUCCUCCUCCUCCAACUCUCAACCACCUGCCCCCAUCAAUCUUCAUCCUCCUCCUCCCACUCUCUACCACCCUUCCCCACUCAAACUCUAAACACCCUUGAACUUCUCACACCUAUCACAAUCUGAUCCUCCUUCCCCCAUCCAACCUCCCGCCCCCUUUCAAGACCCUUCCCCCAUCCAACCUCCCACUCACUCUCAAGACCCUUCCCCCAUCCAACCUCCCGCCCCCUUUCAAGACCCUUCCUCCAUCCAAGCUCCCACCCCCUUUCUAGCACCUUCCCCCAUCCAAGCUCCAACCCCCUCUUAUGUUGCUGAAGACGAGGGAGAGGGCAGCUGUGGCCCCAGAUGGAGAUGAGGAGGAGUUGCCGGCAUUGGUGGAGAAUGCUGCGGUUGGAGAUCCCAAUGAGGAAAUGCGGAGAGCGGUGGAUGGGAUGGAGCGUCAUUGCAGUGGCCUCCUGGAGGCCAUUAUGUCGCUCAGAAGAUUUAUUAGUUAAUUUUUG